rnacentral:lncRNA from 10 species
CAGACUUCCUGGGACAGGGGUCAGAAGGCGGGAGACAGGCAGGGGCAGCCAGUGAGGAAGGAACCAGGACGAGGUCCCAGUAGACGCCCGGGAGGAGACAGCCCAAGCGGAGGAGAGGCCUGGAAGCAGGCGGGCGCCCUGAGCCUUCAUGUCCCCUUUGCUGGGGUUUGCCUCAAUCAAUACUUUUUGGACAAGACCUGGAUUGAGACAGAAAGUUGAUAUUAUACAAACUAAGAACAAGUGCCCAGGGGAAGAAAGAAGAAAAGAGAUGCUGCUCCUGCUGCCUGUGCCUCCUCCUUCCAGAGUGCUCUGCAGGGCAGGCUGCAGGCAGGGCCUUGUCACCCUGGCACCCUCCAGUUCUCCAUCUCUACCACUCCAUCUGGACCCGUGCGCCAGCUGGUAUCCAGGACCCCAACCUUUCCCUCUCCGUAAACGGGUCCGUGCAAAUUCAUGGCCCCAGCCCAUAAAGAACAGGGUGUUUCCGUCUCUUAGGCCUCAAAUGUUUUAAAUGCACAGAAAGAGAUAGUGAGUGUUCAGGGUGUCUCUGCUGCAUGCAUUCAGCAGGAGCUACCAUGGCCGACCUGGGCACCACACUUCAGAUAUGUGGCUCUGCACAGUACAAGAGAUUGGGCCAGUCAUCAUGUCCUACAAACACACAGCACGGAGGCAUUACCUACACCACAAACCCACAGGUGCUCAGGGACAAAUGUUUAAGCUACUGAGGCUGCACCAAGCUCAAACACAGAUGGCAUCUUUCAGAUCACCAGAGGCAGUGUCCACCAGACAUGCAAUUCCUCUGCAGGAGUCAGACCCCAGGUCACCCAGCUUGCUGGGAGGGUUCCUCCGGGGCAGAGGGAGACAUGCCCAAGUCAGACUGGGGAACACCAGCAGUUGACUUCCGUAGCGUUUGCCACCAGUACCAUCUUCCUCUGUAACUGUAUCUUCCCAACUUCUUGUGAAUAUCUCCACCAGAUGUUCCAUCAGCACUUAAAACUCACAUUUCAACACUUGAUCUGAAUUCCUCCAAAUCCCACUUCUUCCCCUGGGCACCUUGAUUCGGUGCUGGCACCACCAUCCACCAGGCAGCCAGAACCAAACUUUGGGCUUCUUCUCACUCUCAUGCUCCC